AGUGAACGCUGGCGGUAGGCCUAACACAUGCAAGUCGAACGGCAGCACAGUAAGAGCUUGCUCUUACGGGUGGCGAGUGGCGGACGGGUGAGGAAUACAUCGGAAUCUACUUUUUCGUGGGGGAUAACGUAGGGAAACUUACGCUAAUACCGCAUACGACCUACGGGUGAAAGCAGGGGAUCUUCGGACCUUGCGCGAUUGAAUGAGCCGAUGUCGGAUUAGCUAGUUGGCGGGGUAAAGGCCCACCAAGGCGACGAUCCGUAGCUGGUCUGAGAGGAUGGUCGGCCAACCUGGAACUGGAACGCGGUCGAGACUCCUACGGGAGGCAGCAGUGGGGAAUAUUGGACAGUGGGGGAAAGCCUGAUCCAGCCAUACCGCGUGGGUGAAGAAGGCCUUCGGGUUGUAAAGCCCUUUUGUUGGGAAAGAAAAGCAGCAGGUUAAUACCCCGCUGUUCUGACGGUACCCAAAGAAUAAGCACCGGCUAACUUCGUG
rnacentral:rRNA from 1 species